CCCUUAGAUGUUCUGGGCUGCACGCGCGCUACACUGAAGCUAUCAACACGUUUUCCCUCCCUGAGAAGGGCGGGUAACCUUUUGAAUCAGCUUCGUGGUAGGGAUCGGGGCUUGCAAUUGUUCCCCGUGAACCAGGAAUUCCUAGUAGACGCGAGUCAUAAGCUCGCAUCGAUUAAGUCCCUGCCCUUUGUACACACCGCCCGUCGCUACUACCGAUUGAACGUUUUAGUGAGGCAUUUGGACCGACGCAUCUCAGUUUAACCCCUGGUUUGUGUUGGAAAGACUUCCAAACUUGAGCGUUUAGAGGAAGUAAAAGUCGUAACA
rnacentral:rRNA from 1 species